UAAGCCUGAUCGGAGCAUGCGCCGUGGAGGAUACACCUUUCGGGCUUUAACUCCUUUUCUGAGUGAAGAAUUUCUGACGUUACCUCAGGAAUAAGCGACGGCUAACUACGUGCCAGCAGCCGCGGUAAUACGUAGGUCGCAAGCGUUAUCCGGAAUCAUUGGGCGUAAAGCGUUCGAAGGCGAACAGGAGGGUCUGAUAUUAAAUACUGCGGCUCGACCGAGGUGUCGUAUCGGAAACCGCUUGUCUAGAGGGAGACAGAGGCAACUAGAAUUCCCAUUGUAGGGGUAAAAUCCGUAGAUAAUGGGAGGAAUACCGAAAGCGAAGGCAGGUUGCUGGGUCUUUCCUGACGCUUGCGAACGAAAGCGUGGGGAGCG
rnacentral:rRNA from 1 species